GAGCGUGAACCACCCGAUCCCAUCUCGAACUCGGAAGUGAAACCGCUUAGCGCCGAUGAUAGUGUGGCAGGUUGCCAUGUGAAAGUAGGGAAUUGCCAAGC
rnacentral:rRNA from 1 species